GCUCAAAUAGUUUAUGAAAAUAUUGAUUUGUGAUGUCAAAGAUGCGAAUUUCGCUUUGGGCC
rnacentral:tRNA from 1 species